rnacentral:rRNA from 1 species
UACGUAGGUGACAAGCGUUGUCCGGAAUCAUUGGGCGUAAAGAGCGUGUAGGCGGCCCGAUAAGUCCGUCGUGAAAGUCCAGGGCUCAACCCUGGGAUGCCGGUGGAAACUGUCGGGCUAGAGUCCGGAAGAGGAGAAUGGAAUUCCUGGUGUAGCGGUGAAAUGCGCAGAUAUCAGGAAGAACACCCGUGGCGAAGGCGGUUCUCUGGGACGGUACUGACGCUGAGACGCGAAAGCGUGGGGAGCGAACAGG